AUACGGAGGGUGCGAGCGUUGUCCGGAUUUAUUGGGUUUAAAGGGUGCGUAGGUGGCUUUAUAAGUCAGUGGUGAAAUACGGUUGCUCAACAAUCGAGGCGCCAUUGAUACUGUAAAGCUUGAAAUAAUUGGAGGCUGCCGGAAUGGAUGGUGUAGCGGUGAAAUGCAUAGAUAUCAUCCAGAACACCGAUUGCGAAGGCAGGUGGCUACGAUUGGUUUGACACUGAGGCACGAAAGCAUGGGGAGC
rnacentral:rRNA from 1 species